rnacentral:rRNA from 1 species
UACGGGGGGGGGCAAGCGUUGUUCGGAAUUACUGGGCGUAAAGGGCUCGUAGGCGGCCAACUAAGUCGGAUGUGAAAUCCCCAAGCUUAACUUGGGAACUGCAUCCGAUACUGGAUGGCUUGAAUCCGGGAGAGGGAUGCAGAAUUCCAGGUGUAGCGGUUGAAAUGCGCAGAUAUCAGGAGGAACACCGGUGGCGAAGGCGGUUCUCUGGGCAUGUCCCUGACGCUGAGGAGCGAAAAGUGUGG